rnacentral:rRNA from 1 species
AGUGAACGCUGGCGGUAGGCCUAACACAUGCAAGUCGAACGGCAGCACAGUAAGAGCUUGCUCUUACGGGUGGCGAGUGGCGGACGGGUGAGGAAUACAUCGGAAUCUACUUUUUCGUGGGGGAUAACGUAGGGAAACUUACGCUAAUACCGCAUACGACCUACGGGUGAAAGCAGGGGAUCUUCGGACCUUGCGCGAUUGAAUGAGCCGAUGUCGGAUUAGCUAGUUGGCGGGGUAAAGGCCCACCAAGGCGACGAUCCGUAACUGGUCUGAGAGGAUGAAUCGGCAACAUGGGAAUGAGAAAAGGGCCCGACGUCGAAGGGAAGGAGCAGUGGGGAAAAUUGGACAAUGGGCGCAAGCCUGAUCCAGCCAUACCGCGUGGGUGAAGAAGGCCUUCGGGUUGUAAAGCCCUUUUGUUGGGAAAGAAAAGCAGCAGGUUAAUACCCCGCUGUUCUGACGGUACCCAAAGAAUAAGCACCGGCUAACUUCGUG